GUGUCAGCAGCCGCGGUAAUACAGAGGUCCCAAGCGUUGUUCGGAUUCACUGGGCGUAAAGGGUGCGCAGGUGGCCGCGCAAGUUCGAUGUGAAAGCCCCGGGCUUAACCCGGGAAUGGCAUUGAAAACUGCGUGGCUGGAGGAUCGGAGGGGGGACUGGAAUUCUUGGUGUAGCAGUGAAAUGCGUAGAUAUCAAGAGGAACACCAGUGGCGAAGGCGAGUCCCUGGACGAUACCUGACACUGAGGCACGAAAGCCAAGGGAGCAAACAGGAUUAGAUACCCUGGUAGUCC
rnacentral:rRNA from 1 species